UACAGAGGGUGCGAGCGUUAAUCGGAAUUACUGGGCGUAAAGCGUGCGUAGACGGUUAUUUAAGUCGGGUGUGAAAGCCCCGGGCUCAACCUGGGAAUUGCAUUCGAGACUGAAUAGCUAGGGUACGGUAGAGGGAAGCGGAAUUUCCGGUGUAGCGGUGAAAUGCGUAGAUAUCAGGAGGAACACCGGUGGCGAAGGCGGCUUUCUGGACACUUACUGACACUGGGACGCGAAAGCGUGGGGAGCAAACAGG
rnacentral:rRNA from 1 species